GGAGCUAGCCGUCGAAGGUGGGACAAAUGAUUGGGGUGAAGUCGUAACAAGGUAGCCGUAUCGGAAGGUGCGGCUGGAUCACCUCCUUU
rnacentral:rRNA from 4 species